rnacentral:pre_miRNA from 1 species
AAAGUACUCCCUCUGUCCCAAAAUUUUUGUCUUAGAUUUGUCUAGAUACAGAUGUAUCAAGUCACAUUUUAGUAUUAGAUACAUCCGUAUCUAGACAAAUCUAAGACAAGAAAUUUGGGACAGAGGGAGUAGUUG